AUUUCUGUGAAGUUUUGCGGUUGGCAAACGCAAAGGAUUGCAACAGAACGUGCGGCCUCUCACGCCGAAAACGGGGGUUCGACUCCCCCUGGGGAUACCA
rnacentral:tRNA from 1 species